rnacentral:rRNA from 1 species
CGACUGUUUACCAAAAACACAGGUCCGUGCGAAGUCGUAAGACGAUGUAUACGGACUGACUCCUGCCCGGUGCUGGAAGGUUAAGGGGAACUGUGAGUGUAUGCGUAGCGGUGAACUUAAGCCCCAGUAAACGGCGGUGGUAACUAUAACCAUCCUAAGGUAGCGAAAUUCCUUGUCGGGUAAGUUCCGACCUGCACGAAUGGAGUAACGAUUUCCCUACUGUCUCCACCAUGAACUCGGUGAAAUUGCAUUACGAGUAAAGAUGCUCGUUACGCGCAGCAGGACGGAAAGACCCCGGGACCUUUACUAUAGUUUGGUAUUGGUGAUUGGGACGGUUUGUGUAGGAUAGGUGGGAGACGUUGAUGCGGCCACGCUAGUGGUGGUGGAGUCGUUGGUGAAAUACCACUCUGAUUGUUCUGGUUAUCUCACUGUGGACCGUGAUCCGGUUCAAGGACAGUGCCUGAUGGGUAGUUUGACUGGGGCGGUCGCCUCCUAAAGGGUAACGGAGGCGCCCAAAGGUUCCCUCAGCCUGGUUGGUAAUCAGGUGGUGAGUGUAAGUGCACAAGGGGGCUUGACUGUGAGACUGACAGGUCGAGCAGGGACGAAAGUCGGGACUAGUGAUCUGAUGGUGGCUUGUGGAUGCGCCG